GGCGGGCGAUUUCAGACGCUUGGCAGCCUGGAUGCAAAGGGUUUACCGACCAUGGCCACGGGCCGCUUUGUCUCGGUCGAUAAGCCUCUGCAUCCAGAUUGUUUGGAAUCUGUUGCUUCUC
rnacentral:pre_miRNA from 1 species